rnacentral:rRNA from 1 species
UGCGUAGGUGGUCUGUUAAGUCAGCUGUGAAAGCCCUGGGCUUAACCUGGGAACUGCAGUUGAUACUGGCAGGCUAGAGUACGAGAGAGGGAGGUAGAAUUCCAUGUGUAGCGGUGAAAUGCGUAGAUAUAUGGAGGAAUACCAGUGGCGAAGGCGGCCUCCUGGCUCGAUACUGACACUGAGGUGCGAAAGCGUGGGUAGCAAACAGGAUUAGAUACCCUGGUAGUCC